AGCGAACGCUGGCGGCAUGCCUAACACAUGCAAGUCGAACGAACUCUUCGGAUUUAGUGGCGGACGGGUGAGUAACACGUGGGAACGUGCCUUUUGGUUCGGAAUAACUCAGGGAAACUUGUGCUAAUACCGAAUGUGCCCUUCGGGCGAAAGAUUUAUCGCCAUUAGAUGGGCCCGCGUUGGAUUAGCUAGUUGGUGAGGUAACGGCCUACCAAGGCGACGAUCAGUAGCUGGUCUGAGAGGAUGACUAGCCACACUGGGACUGAGACACGGCCCAGACUCCUACGGGAGGCAGCAGUGGGGAAUAUUGCGCAAUGGGCGAAAGCCUGAUGCAGCCAUGCCGCGUGAAUGAUGAAGGUCUUAGGAUUGUAAAAUUCUUUCACCGGGGACGAUAAUGACGGUACCCGGAGAAGAAGCCCCGGCUAACUCCGUG
rnacentral:rRNA from 1 species